rnacentral:lncRNA from 1 species
GGGGCAGGGGCAGGAACUGGUGGAAGAGCUGACAGCAAGGGGAGUGGCCAAACGGAGGCGGGGCCUGGAAGGGGGCGUGGCUUGCGGGCCUCUGGGCCGCCCGGCCUCUUUAGGUGCCGCAGCGGAAGGCCUGGAGCAGAGGCUGCUUCUCCGCCCAAGCACUCCCUGGCGAGCCCAGGCCCUCCCGAGGAGCAGAGAAUGGAAGGAAACCAAGUUUUGUCCUGCGAGUCCUCGCCCUCUGCAGGAAGAGGAUGUGGAAUGCUCCCCAAGACUUCCGUCCUGCAAGUCUAUAAAGGGCAGUCUGGUGAAGUUUCACAGCUUCAGCUCCGGUAUCGUUAAUCACAGGAUCGUGGCUGCAAACCUCCCAGCCCUUCAGCACCAAACAGGUGUUAAAGCAAAGAGAAUGAAGGCAAGAUCCUCGGGAUUCUCUGGGAAAGGAGGCAAGCUGCUCUGUGUUCUGGCGCUCGCAGUCCGCAGGGAGACUGGUGAAGCCCACAUUUUCUUUCCAAGCCCUCAGGGUCCAAGAGACUGGAUACUAGAUGUGUAGUGGCUGGGUAUCUGGGCAGAGAGAGAAGUCUAUCGUUCUGAGGAGCAGGAAGGACUGGGAAGAGGGUACCCAGUGUACAAGAGCCAGACUGAUGUGGUUGGAGGAUGGGGGGCAAUGUCAGGGUAGGAAACACUUUUACAUUUCCGGGGAAUAAACAACUAUUCUGGCGCCA